rnacentral:misc_RNA from 1 species
UUCUAACUUUAGUUAAUUUCUCAUCUAAUUUCUCUCUCUGAAAAGUGGCGUGAUUUUCCGAGUGACCAGCAAGGGAAAUUACGUCUUGAAAAGGCAGUCGUGAUCGAGCAUGAGAUUGAAACACAGCCUGAACGGGCUCCAGAGGCCGAGCAGAAGACUCCAAAAUGUUCGUAAAAGUGAUCUUUUUGUUAAUUGUGAUCGGUAUGCCAAUGAUUAUCCACUCGGAAGGUGAAAUCUAGAUGGGUAUGUAGACUAUACGGCGAGAACGAUUCGACUAUUCAGGAGCUAUUCAGGAGCUAUUCAGGACUAAUCAUAUCAGUGAUGAUUUCUCUGUGAUUUCAAGGUUGAACUCUAUAAUUGAGAUCAGUAGAGUUCAAUCAAUUAUCAAAUAAUUUAACAAAUUUGUGAUCGAAAGAGGAUUGUCGGGGAGGGAGUCCAAUCUCACAAGAUAUCAAACUAUCUAGAUAUGAACCAAAAAAUUUAAAUAAAUAACUAUCACUUUCCUGAAAGAUACCUUCUUAAGAACUCAAUACAACAAUACUUUAUAGAAUGAUAAAAUUACGUGUCUCAGAGUCAUUCGCCUUUUCAGGAUCUCUGCAGUUCAGUUUAUAACGAUGCAUGGUUUUUCAGAACAGAUAAUGCAACGGUGAAAAUAAGAGCUCCAAAAUAUUAAUCUUGGAGAGGAAUAGUUUUCUGAUAUUCAAUUUCCUGUUCUAGUGACAUUAAAUAUUUAUACGCAAUAAUUACAUAUCAUUUGAGAAGCUAUUUCAGAAUUCACAUAGGGAUCAUUAUGUAAUUAAAUUAUACAUAAAAAAA